rnacentral:rRNA from 1 species
GUGGGGAAUUUUGGACAAUGGGCGCAAGCCUGAUCCAGCAAUGCCGCGUGCAGGAAGAAGGCCUUCGGGUUGUAAACUGCUUUUGUACGGAACGAAAAGGCUCUGGUUAAUACCUGGGGCUCAUGACGGUACCGUAAGAAUAAGCACCGGCUAACUACGUGCCAGCAGCCGCGGUAAUACGUAGGGUGCAAGCGUUAAUCGGAAUUACUGGGCGUAAAGCGUGCGCAGGCGGUUUUGUAAGACAGGCGUGAAAUCCCCGGGCUCAACCUGGGAAUGGCGCUUGUGACUGCAAAGCUGGAGUGCGGCAGAGGGGGAUGGAAUUCCGCGUGUAGCAGUGAAAUGCGUAGAUAUGCGGAGGAACACCGAUGGCGAAGGCAAUCCCCUGGGCCUGCACUGACGCUCAUGCACGAAAGCGUGGGGAGCAAACAGGAUUAGAAACCCCUGUAGUCC